UAAACAUUGAUAGUAUUUUUAUGCCUUCUAUCCGCCAGGGAACUACGAGCAUCAGCUUAAAACCCAAAGGACUUGGCGGUGCUUAAGACCCACCUAGAGGAGCCUGUUCUAGAACCGAUAAUCCCCGUUCAACCUCACCCCCCCUUGUUCCUUCCGCCUAUAUACCGCCGUCGUCAGCUUACCCUGUGAAGGGUAAAUAGUAAGCAAAAUUGGUAAAACCCAAAACGCCAGGUCGAGGUGUAGCGCAUGGGGAGGGAAGAAAUGGGCUACAUUCCCUAAAUUAGGGCACACGAAAGGCAAAUUGAAACAUCUGCCCGAAGGUGGAUUUAGAAGUAAGCAGGAGCUAGAGAACCCCGCUGAAACCGGCCCUGAAGCGCGCACACACCGCCCGUCACUCUCCCCAAACAUACGUAAACCCACACUAAUUAAAACCCUAGUAAUACAAAGGGGAGGCAAGUCGUAACAUGGUAAGUGUACCGGAAGGUGCACUUGGAUAAAACCAGGGUAUAGCUAAGACAGAAAAGCAUCUCCCUUACACCGAGAAGACAUCCGUGCAAACCGGAUUAUCCUGACACCCAACAGCUAGCCCUAAUUCAAGCCAAAAUUUAACCUAUAAUUUAAGCUACAAAAAACUACAACCACAAAACAAACCAUUUUACCCCCUAAGUAUGGGAGACAGAAAAGGACCCAGGAGCAACAGAUACAGUACCGCAAGGGAACGCUGAAAUAGAAAUGAAAUAAUCCAGUAAAGUACUAAAAAGCAGAGAUAUAACCUCGUACCUUUUGCAUCAUGAUUUAGCUAGCAAGCCCGGGCAAAAAGUAUUUAAGUCCGACACCCCGAAACUAAGUGAGCUACUCCAAGACAGCCUAUUUAUAGGGCUAACCCGUCUCUGUGGCAAAAGAGUGGGAUGAGCUUCGAGUAGAGGUGACAGACCUACCGAACUUAGUUAUAGCUGGUUGCCUGAGAACCGAAUAAAAGUUCAGCUUCUUAGAUUCUUUAUCCAACACAGUUACUACACCACCAUGGUAAACAAGAAGCCAAGAAAGUUAGUCAAAGGGGGUACAGCCCCUUUGAACAAGGAUACAACCUUUACAGAUGGCUAAUGAUCACAAUAAACCUAGGUACAAUAUUCCAGUGGGCUUAAAAGCAGCCACCAAAAUAGAAAGCGUUAAAGCUCAGAUACUUUUUUAACCUGUUAUUUUGAUAAAACAAUCCUAAUCCUCUCGCUACUAUCAGGCCACCCCAUAACAAACAUGGGGGGGACCAUGCUAAUAUGAGUAAUAAGAGAAAACUAAUUCUCUCCAUGCACAAGUGUAAACCGGAACGGACCAACCACCGAACAUCACCCGGACCCAAACAAAGAGGGCAUUAGGCCCAAAGACAAAAGACAAGAAAACCCCCUAAUCACAUAACCGUUAAACCUACACCGGAGUGCUAACCAGGAAAGACUUACAGAAAAAGAAGGAACUCGGCAAACACAUCACGCCUCGCCUGUUUACCAAAAACAUCGCCUCUUGCAACCUAAAGUAUAAGAGGUCCCGCCUGCCCUGUGACAUAAACUGUUUAACGGCCGCGGUAUUUUGACCGUGCAAAGGUAGCGCAAUCACUUGUCUUUUAAAUGAAGACCUGUAUGAAUGGCAUAACGAGGGCUAAGCUGUCUCCUUUUUCAAGUCAAUGAAAUUGAUCUCCCCGUGCAGAAGCGGGGAUACUAACAUAAGACGAGAAGACCCUAUGGAGCUUCAGACACCAGGGCAGCCUAAAGUUAAGUAUCUCAAAAAGAAAAAACCAAAAAUGACCUGCCAUACUGUCUUUGGUUGGGGCGACCGCGGGGAAACAAAAAACCCCCACGUGGACUGGGAGAUUCACCUCCUAAAACCAAGAGCCACAGCUCUAGAAAACAGAACUUCUGACCUUAAAGAUCCGGCACAUUAGCCGAUCAACGGACCGAGUUACCCUAGGGAUAACAGCGCAAUCCUCUUUUAGAGCCCAUAUCGACAAGGGGGUUUACGACCUCGAUGUUGGAUCAGGACAUCCUAAUGGUGCAGCCGCUAUUAAGGGUUCGUUUGUUCAACGAUUAAAGUCCU
rnacentral:misc_RNA from 1 species